rnacentral:sRNA from 1 species
AAAAGAUCAGCGCAGGAUUUAUCAAGCCGUGAAGUUGCGGUGUUCGUUGUAGCGACUACCUCGUUUUGCCAAUUCCCUUGAUUGUCAUGCACCGGCUAAUCCCCGUUUUUUUCAUUUUUCAUUCAAAGGAAAUACCAUGGCUAACGGUACCGUUAAGUGGUUCAACGACGCUAAGGGCUUCGGCUUCAUCACUCCGGACGAAGGCGGCGACGACCUGUUCGCGCACUUCUCGCAAAUCAUGUCCAAUGGCUUCAAGAGCCUGGCUGAAGGCCAACGCGUGACUUUCGACGUCACCACUGGCCCGAAGGGCAAGCAAGCUUCCAACAUCAAGGCUGCCUGAUCGGCCCUUGCGUUGAGCUAGAAAAAACCCGGCAACUGCCGGGUUUUUUUAC